rnacentral:rRNA from 1 species
UACGGAGGGUGCGAGCGUUGUCCGGAUUUAUUGGGUUUAAAGGGUGCGUAGGUGGCUUUUUUAAGUCAGUGGUGAAAUACAGCCGCUCAACGGUUGAGGUGCCAUUGAUACUGAAGAGCUUGAAACAAGUGGAGGCUGCCGGAAUGGAUGGUGUAGCGGUGAAAUGCAUAGAUAGCAUCCAGAACACCGAUUGCGAAGGCAGGUGGCUACGUUUGAUUUGACACUGAGGCACGAAAGCAUGGGGAGCAAACAGG